ACAGUGGACGCGAGCAUCUGUGGCCAAGUUUUUAAGGGCGCACGGUGGAUGCCUUGGCACCAGGAACCGAUGAAGGACGUGGGAGGCCGCGAUAGGCCCCGGGGAGCUGUCAACCGAGCUUUGAUCCGGGGGUGUCCGAAUGGGGAAACCCGGCAGUCGUCAUGGGCUGUCACCCGCUGCUGAACACAUAGGCAGUGUGGAGGGAACGCGGGGAAGUGAAACAUCUCAGUACCCGCAGGAAGAGAAAACAACCGUGAUUCCGGGAGUAGUGGCGAGCGAAACUGGAUGAGGCUAAACCGUAUGUGUGAUACCCGGCAGGGGUUGCGCAUGCGGGGUUGUGGGAGUGUGCUGGAUCGGUCUGCUUACCGGUCGGAGAGUCAGAAACCGUAUGGAUAGGCGAAGGGCAUGCGAAAGGCCCGGCGUAGAGGUAAGACCCCGUAGCUGAAAUCUGUACGGCUCUCUUGCGUAUUUCCCAAGUAGCACGGGGCCCGAGAAAUCCCGUGUGAAUCUGGCGGGACCACCCGCUAAGCCUAAAUAUUCCCUGGUGACCGAUAGCGGAUAGUACCGUGAGGGAAUGGUGAAAAGUACCGCGGGAGCGGAGUGAAAUAGUACCUGAAACCGUGUGCCUACAAGCCGUGGGAGCGUCGCGCAGAGACUUGUCUCUGCGUCGUGACUGCGUGCCUUUUGAAGAAUGAGCCUGCGAGUUUGCGGUGUGUUGCGAGGUUAACCCGUGUGGGGAAGCCGUAGCGAAAGCGAGUCCGAAUAGGGCGGUUUAGUAGCGCGCUCAAGACCCGAAGCGGAGUGAUCUAGCCAUGGGCAGGUUGAAGCGGAGGUAAGACUUCGUGGAGGACCGAACCCACCAGGGUUGAAAACCUGGGGGAUGACCUGUGGUUAGGGGUGAAAGGCCAAUCAAACUCCGUGAUAGCUGGUUCUCCCCGAAAUGCAUUUAGGUGCAGCGUCGUGUGUUUCUUACUGGAGGUAGAGCACUGGAUAGGCGAUGGGCCCUACCGGGUUACUGACCUUAGCCAAACUCCGAAUGCCGGUAAGUGAGAGCGCGGCAGUGAGACUGUGGGGGAUAAGCUCCAUGGUCGAGAGGGAAACAGCCCAGAGCAUCGACUAAGGCCCCUAAGCGUAUGCUAAGUGGGAAAGGAUGUGGAGUCGCAGAGACAACCAGGAGGUUGGCUUAGAAGCAGCCAUCCUUGAAAGAGUGCGUAAUAGCUCACUGGUCAAGUGAUUCCGCGCCGACAAUGUAGCGGGGCUCAAGCGUACCGCCGAAGUCGUGUCACUACAGCAAUACCUCUAACGAGGGCUGUGGUGGGUAGGGGAGCGUCGUGUGCCGGGUGAAGCAGCGCCGGAAGGUAGUUGUGGACGGUUCACGAGUGAGAAUGCAGGCAUGAGUAGCGAUACACACGUGGGAAACGUGUGCGCCGAUUGACUAAGGGUUCCUGGGUCAAGCUGAUCUGCCCAGGGUAAGUCGGGACCUAAGGCGAGGCCGACAGGCGUAGUCGAUGGACAACCGGUUGAUAUUCCGGUACCCGCUUUGAAGCGCCCAAUAUCGAAUCCUCUGAUGCUAAGGCCGUGAAGCCGCCCUGAUCUCUUCGGAGUUGAGGGGAGUGGUGGAGCCGCUGAUCCAAGGUGGUAGUAGGUAAGUGAUGGGGUGACGCAGGAAGGUAGUCCAGCCCGGGCGGUGGUUGUCCCGGGGUAAGGGUGUAGCCGAGGAGUAUGGUUGUGGUGAAGUGGAUGAUCCGCUUCCUCUAGCGAGUUUCAUGGCGGCCCGUACCCUAAACCGACUCAGGUGGUCAGGUAGAGAAUACCGAGGCGUUCGGGUGAACUAUGGUUAAGGAACUCGGCAAAAUGCCCCCGUAACUUCGGGAGAAGGGGGGCCAUUGCUGGUGAUCACUCUUGCAGUGUGAGCUGGUGGUGGCCGCAGAGACCAGCGAGAAGCGACUGUUUACUAAAAACACAGGUCCGUGCGAAGCCGUAAGGCGAUGUAUACGGACUGACGCCUGCCCGGUGCUGGAACGUUAAGGGGACCGGUUAGCUCCAUUUCGGUGGGGCGAAGCUGAGAACUUAAGCGCCAGUAAACGGCGGUGGUAACUAUAACCAUCCUAAGGUAGCGAAAUUCCUUGUCGGGUAAGUUCCGACCUGCACGAAUGGCGUAACGACUUCUCGACUGUCUCAACCAUAGGCCCGGUGAAAUUGCAUUACGAGUAAAGAUGCUCGUUUCGCGCAGCAGGACGGAAAGACCCCGGGACCUUUACUACAGCUUGAUAUUGGUGUUCGGUUCGGCUUGUGUAGGAUAGGUGGGAGACUGUGAAAUCAUGACGCCAGUCAUGGUGGAGUCAUUGUUGAAAUACCACUCUGGUCGUGCUGGAUGUCUAACCUGGGUCCGUGAUCCGGAUCAGGGACAGUGUCUGGUGGGUAGUUUAACUGGGGCGGUUGCCUCCUAAAGGGUAACGGAGGCGCCCAAAGGUUCCCUCAGCCUGGUUGGCAAUCAGGUGUUGAGUGUAAGUGCACAAGGGAGCUUGACUGUGAGACCGACGGGUCGAGCAGGGACGAAAGUCGGGACUAGUGAUCCGGCGGUGGCUUGUGGAAGCGCCGUCGCUCAACGGAUAAAAGGUACCCCGGGGAUAACAGGCUGAUCUUCCCCAAGAGUCCAUAUCGACGGGAUGGUUUGGCACCUCGAUGUCGGCUCGUCGCAUCCUGGGGCUGGAGUCGGUCCCAAGGGUUGGGCUGUUCGCCCAUUAAAGCGGUACGCGAGCUGGGUUUAGAACGUCGUGAGACAGUUCGGUCCCUAUCCGCUGUGCGCGUAGGAGUCUUGAGAAGGGCUGUCCCUAGUACGAGAGGACCGGGACGGACGAACCUCUGGUGUGCCAGUUGUCCUGCCAAGGGCAUGGCUGGUUGGCUACGUUCGGGAGGGAUAACCGCUGAAAGCAUCUAAGCGGGAAGCCUGCUUCGAGAUGAGGGCUCCCACCCACUUGAUGGGGUAAGGCUCCCAGUAGACGACUGGGUUGAUAGGCCAGAUAUGGAAGCCGGGUGACCGGUGGAGUUGACUGGUACUAAUAGGCCGAGGGCUUGUCCUCAGUUG
rnacentral:rRNA from 1 species